UACGUAGGGCGCAAGCGUUGUCCGGAUUUAUUGGGCGUAAAGAGCGUGUAGGCGGCCAGGUAGGUCUGCUGUGAAACUCGAGGCUCAACCUCGAGACGUCGGCGGAAACCAUCUGGCUAGAGUCCGGAAGAGGAGAGUGGAAUUCCUGGUGUAGCGGUGAAAUGCGCAGAUAUCAGGAAGAACACCCGUGGCGAAGGCGGCUCUCUGGGACGGUACUGACGCUGAGACGCGAAAGCGUGGGGGAGCGAACAGG
rnacentral:rRNA from 1 species